rnacentral:tRNA from 1 species
GCCGGGUUGGCUCAGUGGUCGACAGCACCUGCCUUGUAAGCAGGCGGAGCAAUCCCGCGUGGGUUCGAAUCCCACCCCCGGCUCCA